GACGAACGCUGGCGGCGUGCCUAAUACAUGCAAGUAGAACGCUGAAGGAGGAGCUUGCCCUUCUGGAUGAGUUGCGAACGGGUGAGUAACGCGUAGGUAACCUGCCUGGUAGCGGGGGAUAACUAUUGGAAACGAUAGCUAAUACCGCAUAACAGUAGAUGUUGCAUGACAUUUACUUAAAAGGUGCAAUUGCAUCACUACCAGAUGGACCUGCGUUGUAUUAGCUAGUUGGUGGGGUAACGGCUCACCAAGGCGACGAUACAUAGCCGACCUGAGAGGGGGAUCGGCCACCCUGGGAAUGGGAAACGGCCCAGACUCCUACGGGAGGCAGCAGUAGGGAAUCUUCGGCAAUGGACGGAAGUCUGACCGAGCAACGCCGCGUGAGUGAAGAAGGUUUUCGGAUCGUAAAGCUCUGUUGUAAGAGAAGAACGAGUGUGAGAGUGGAAAGUUCACACUGUGACGGUAUCUUACCAGAAAGGGACGGCUAACUACGUG
rnacentral:rRNA from 1 species